AACCGCGCAAAGUUAUACGAAUAUCUCUCUUCGAGCGAGUCUUCAUCUAUGUUCAAGGCGCAAGGCAAUCGUGUAAGGAUUGUAAGUAUUAGGGGUGGCGGGCCUGCGCGAUCUUGUGAAGAACAAGACGCAAGGUCAAUUCUCUUCCGAAGAAGGAGGUCAACGGGACGCAUCACUUGCGUAACCCUGGCUCUCUGCCAUCGCGUUGCGGAGAAUCGCGCCAGAGUUCAAUGGAAUAACGUCAAAAGGAGAGUGUAUUUAUAUACAUCUAUGAGAAGAGCACGCGUGCACGCGCGGAUAAACGUGCGCGCGCGACAAACCUUGCGCGGAAUAGAUCAUGCUAAAAUCAGCUGUCCCUCGCCUACACGCACGGUAUACUACAGACUCUCGUCGAUGCUGAUUACGAAGCGUUCAGCUGACUCGUAUGCGUGUAACACCGACGGCGAUCGAUCUCUGUAUAAAACCGCGAACUUGAGUUAUGAGGGUCCCAUUUGCCCUCUUAAUAUUUAAUCAUGGCUGACGUUUAUCCUGUGGUCUUCCGGUUUAGCAUUGGAUGGUUGAACAUUUUUAUCGUGCAAUGAGUACUAUGUGAUUUUUCAAUGACGAAGUAGAAAUGAAAAAAAAAACAGAAUGAGAAAGCACGUACGACAUUAUAGUAGUAUCAUGAAUUCAAAAUAAGUACUUCAAGGAAACAAAUUAUAGACGUUCAUAAGAAUGCAACAUACGCUGGCGUUAUCAGGCUUAGAUAUCGGACCCGGGCUUGGAGAGUCGAAUGUCACGUUGG